UACGUAGGGUGCAAGCGUUGUCCGGAAUUAUUGGGCGUAAAGAGCUCGUAGGCGGUUUGUUGCGUCGGCUGUGAAAUCCCGAGGCUCAACCUCGGGUCUGCAGUCGAUACGAGCAAACUAGAGUGUUGCAGGGGAGACUGGAAUUCCUGGUGUAGCGGUGAAAUGCGCAGAUAUCAGGAGGAACACCGGUGACGAAGGCGGGUCUCUGGGCAACAACUGACGCUGAGGAGCGAAAGCGUGGGGAGCGAACAGG
rnacentral:rRNA from 1 species